CGCAUCUGUGCAUGCAGCAUAUCAAUAAGCGGAGGAAAAGAAACUAACAAGGAUUCCCUUAGUAACGGCGAGUGAAGCGGGAAGAGCUCAAAUUUGAAAUCUUCAAGGUUUUACCUUGACGAAUUGUAGUUUAAAGAAGUGUUUUCUGUUGAAGUUUUGGUAAAAGUUCUUUGGAAUAGGACAUCAUAGAGGGUGAGAAUCCCGUAUUUGACCAUUAUUUUCAGCUGUGUGAUACACUUUCAAAGAGUCGGAUUGUUUGGGAAUGCAGUCCAAAAUGGGUGGUAAAUUUCAUCUAAAGCUAAAUAUUGGCGAGAGACCGAUAGGCGAACAAGUACCGUGAGGGAAAGAUGAAAAGAACUUUGAAAAGAGAGUCAAACAGUACGUGAAAUUGUCAAAAGGGAAGCGUUUGACACCAGUGUUGUUUUCUCGAAAAUCAAUUAAAAAGAGUUAGAUUUUGUUGUGUAUUGACCUUAACAGCUUGCAUUUCAAUUUUCUUGCUUUUUUUAAUGCACUUUUCGUUUAACAAGUCAACAUCAGUUUCUUUUGUUGUAAAAAGGUCAUUGGAAGGUGGCUUUCUUUUCGGAGAAAGUGUUUAUAGCCUUUGACUCCUGCAAUCGGAGAGACUGAGGUCUGCAGCGUAGAUCCUUCGGGGUUAGAUACAUUUGUGCUAAGUUAUAGCUUUUUAUAGACAACUUGUUGACUAUGAUUAGUCUUGUAGCUUACUCGCUUAUGCUAUUUUACCUACGCUUAGGAUGUUGACACACGCGCGUGCUCG
rnacentral:rRNA from 1 species